AUUCAAACGUGCUGCAGAUGUGUGUCACAAGUUGAUCUGGCUGUAGGCUGUGGCACUUGGCCAGAGGUGGCGCUGGUUGACUCGACUCCAUGUUAGUGCACAAAGUAAACUGCUCGCUUUAGUUGUGAGGCAAAAACGCUGAAUUCGGAGAAAUAAACCGUGCGAGGGGAACGAUAACGACGACAAGAGUCUCCCGAUCGUUUACUCUUGGUGUCCUGUGAACAACAUCGGCGUGCCCAUAAUUUGCAGUACUUCAGAAAAAAAGGAGUGAACAUAAAAGGGAGUAAUGUUGUGGCAGUAUUUCACAGGAAGAGAAAAGAAUGAGAGCUAACUUCACUCAGAGAUAUAGAAAGAAAGAGAAAGAAACCAGGCUGUAUUUAAAGACGUCUUGAAAACAAGUUUUAACAAAGUCCUGGAGAAGUGCCCAAUGCUGGAGGACCUCCUGCUUUACCCCUGGCUCAGAUAAACUCCUCUCUGACACAAACACACACGCAUACUGAAUUCACAU